GAUGUGAACACGCAACCUUUUGAUUCAUC
rnacentral:sRNA from 1 species